rnacentral:rRNA from 1 species
UACGUAGGAUGCAAGCGUUGUCCGGAAUUAUUGGGCGUAAAGCGAACGUAGGCGGCCUUUUAAGUUUGGUCUUAAAGACCAGGGCUCAACCCUGGGAAUGGACUGAAUACUGGGAGGCUGGAGGAUGUCAGAGGAAGGUGGAAUUCCGAGUGUAGAGGUGAAAUUCGUAGAUAUUCGCAAGAACACCAGUGGCGAAGGCGGCUCACUGGCCCGAUACUGACGCUGAGGUGCGAAAGCGUGGGGAGCAAACAGG